rnacentral:tRNA from 1 species
GAGGAUAUAGCUCAGUGGUUGAGUGUCUGCUUAGCAUACACAAAGUCCUGAGUUAAACCCCCAGUACCUCCA